UACGGGGGGAGCAAGCGUUGUUCGGAUUUACUGGGCGUAAAGGGCGCGUAGGCGGCCACCGCAAGUCGACUGUGAAAUCUCCGGGCUUAACCCGGAAAGGUCAGCCGAUACUGCGGGGCUAGAGUGCAGAAGGGGCAACUGGAAUUCUCGGUGGAGCGGUGAAAUGCGUAGAUAUCGUUUGGAACGCCAAUGGUGAAAACAGGUCGCUGGGGAUGCGCUGACGCUGAGACACGAAAGCCAGGGGAGCAAACGGG
rnacentral:rRNA from 1 species